rnacentral:rRNA from 1 species
UCCAGACUCCUACGGGAGGCAGCAGUGAGGAAUAUUGGUCAAUGGCCGCAGGGCUGAACCAGCCAAGUCGCGUGAGGGAUGACGGUCCUAUGGAUUGUAAACCUCUUUUGUCGGGGAGCAAAGAGAGUCACGUGUGGCUCAUUGAGAGUACCCGAAGAAAAAGCAUCGGCUAACUCCGUGCCAGCAGCCGCGGUAAUACGGAGGAUGCGAGCGUUAUCCGGAUUUAUUGGGUUUAAAGGGUGCGCAGGCGGAGGUGCAAGUCAGUGGUCAAAUUGCGGGGCUCAACCCCGUACUGCCGUUGAAACUGCAUCCCUUGAGUGCGCGAGAAGUAUGCGGAAUGCGUGGUGUAGCGGUGAAAUGCUUAGAUAUCGCGCAGAACCCCGAUUGCGAAGGCAGCGUACCGGCUCCACACUGACGCUGAGGCACGAAAGCGUGGGUAUCGAACAGGAUUAGAUACCCGGGUAAC